GGCCACCGUGCGCGGUGGUUCCGACGGUGACUCUGGUGGGCUUUGGAGAUGAUUCAACUUCCAGAGGCUUCCUCAUAAAUUUUUGGAAUUUUUGAGACACAGAUAAACUUCGGGUGAUCGAGGUCAGCUAUUUUUCUGCAUCCAGCAGCCACAAUAGUCAUCGGUGUACUGCCACAGGAGGAGACAUUUUUCAGAAUAACCUGUCCCUUUCCUCUAAGGUUAUGAAAAUAUUACUUAAUUGUAUUAUUAUUCUCCAAAUUUGUAAUUUAGGAUUCCGCAUGUACUAGUAGUAGUAUUAAUUCUGUCAGGGACUGCGUGAAUUUAAGUUUUUGUAUUAAUAAAUGAAAAAUUUUUAUGAGUUUUAAAUAGUUUGUAAAUGAUGUAACAGGGUUGAGCUGGGCUCCCCUAAUUUCAGUUUCUGGUAAUUAUUGGGUUAAGUUGGCUCGAAAUGAAAUUUCAACAGUUUGAUUUAAAUUAUUUUAUAUGCUUAUUGGGCCUAAAUUGUGAGCCUGGUUAUGGAUUUGAGAACAGUAAGGCUUACUACGGGCCUCGGGGGCUUUAUGCCGGCCCAGGUCCUAGUGCCGGUCCGGCCCAUAGGAUGGGUCGUGACAAAGUUGGUAUCAGAGCUUAGGCUCUAGAUUCAUGGGAAAUGCUA